rnacentral:lncRNA from 1 species
CUUGAAUCCUUAUGCUAUGCAUCUCAGAAUCAGCCAUGCUCAGAAGAAAGAGGCAUUUAUACACCACUUCUCUUCUUUUAUUGGUCAGCUGUUGUUCCAUGGACUUCCAAGCUGCAUGUGGAAGACUGAUCGAGGGUGCAUUCUAUAUAGAGAUGGACUCGGGCCUUGGAAGUCCCUGGCACAGAAGAUGGUAAGGUCUGGUUUGGGGCAGCCUGAAACAGAUAUGGGCACUAGAGAAGUCACCCGGAAAACUGCUGUAGUUCUGACUCAAGCUGAAAGAAUAGGAGAACUCUAAAACUU